UACAUGGAGUCCAAGCGUUAUCCGGAUUUACUGGGCGUAAAGCGUGCGCAGGCGGUUUUGUAAGUCUGUCGUGAAAGCCCCGGGCUCAACCUGGGAAUUGCGAUGGAGACUGCAAGGCUUGAAUCUGGCAGAGGGGGGGUAGAAUUCCACGUGUAGCAGUGAAAUGCGUAGAGAUGUGGAGGAACACCGAUGGCGAAGGCAGCCCCCUGGGUCAAGAUUGACGCUCAUGCACGAAAGCGUGGGGAGCAACAG
rnacentral:rRNA from 1 species